AUGCACGCUGGCGGCGUGCCUCAUCCCUGCAAGUCGAGCGAACGGACGAGAAGCUUGCUUCUCUGAUGUUAGCGGCGGACGGGUGAGUAACACGUGGAUAACCUACCUAUAAGACUGGGAUAACUUCGGGAAACCGGAGCUAAUACCGGAUAAUAUUUUGAACCGCAUGGUUCAAAAGUGAAAGACGGUCUUGCUGUCACUUAUAGAUGGAUCCGCGCUGCAUUAGCUAGUUGGUAAGGUAACGGCUUACCAAGGCAACGAUGCAUAGCCGACCUGAGAGGGUGAUCGGCCACACUGGAACUGAGACACGGUCCAGACUCAUACGGGAGGCAGCAGUAGGGAAUCUUCCGCAAUGGGCGAAAGCCUGACGGAGCAACGCCGCGUGAGUGAUGAAGGUCUUCGGAUCGUAAAACUCUGUUAUUAGGGAAGAACAUAUGUGUAAGUAACUGUGCACAUCUUGACGGUACCUAAUCAGAAAGCCACGGCUAACUACGUG
rnacentral:rRNA from 1 species